rnacentral:rRNA from 1 species
GGAGAGUGGAAUUCCACGUGUAGCGGUGAAAUGCGUAGAUAUGUGGAGGAACACCAGUGGCGAAGGCGACUCUCUGGUCUGUAACUGACGCUGAGGCUCGAAAGCGUGGGGAGCAAACAGGAUUAGAUACCCUGGUAGUCCACGCCGUAAACGAUGAGUGCUAAGUGUUGGAGGGUUUCCGCCCUUCAGUGCUGCAGCUAACGCAUUAAGCACUCCGCCUGGGGAGUACGGCCGCAAGGCUGAAACUCAAAGGAAUUGACGGGGACCCGCACAAGCGGUGGAGCAUGUGGUUUAAUUCGAUGCAACGCGAAGAACCUUACCAGGUCUUGACAUCCUUUGACCACUCUAGAGAUAGAGCUUUCCCUUCGGGGACAAAGUGACAGGUGGUGCAUGGUUGUCGUCAGCUCGUGUCGUGAGAUGUUGGGUUAAGUCCCGCAACGAGCGCAACCCUUAUUACUAGUUGCCAGCAUUUAGUUGGGCACUCUAGUGAGACUGCCGGUGACAAACCGGAGGAAGGUGGGGAUGACGUCAAAUCAUCAUGCCCCUUAUGACCUGGGCUACACACGUGCUACAAUGGAUGGUACAACGAGUCGCAAGGUCGCGAGGCCAAGCUAAUCUCUUAAAGCCAUUCUCAGUUCGGAUUGUAGGCUGCAACUCGCCUACAUGAAGCCGGAAUCGCUAGUAAUCGCGGAUCAGAACGCCGCGGUGAAUACGUUCCCGGGUCUUGUACACACCGCCCGUCACACCACGAGAGUUUGUAACACCCGAAGCCGGUGAGGUAACCUUUUAGGAGCCAGCCGUCUAAGGUGGGAUAGAUAAUUGGGGUGAAGUCGUAACAAGGUAGCCGUAUCGGAAGGUGCGGCUGGAUCACCUCCUUU